UCCCUUUAAGGUGGGUUCACUAUCUUCGCAGCGGUGGGUGAAAGCCAGUUCAGCUCCUGAACCCUACAGUUGUUCAACAGGCUUUUGGUGCCUGACCGGUUUCAGAAGACAGAAUCUGGAAGACUAGGACAUUUUCUUUCGUUUGCAGGAGAAUGUCUGGACCUAGCUUCUGGGAACCUGCCGGCAGUUAAUUCUGACAGGGGACCUAAGCUGAGUAUUUGCCUCCAUUAGAUUUGCCUGUGGACAGAACUGUGAGGCAUCUUUUGGAAUAGUGAUUGAUGUGUGGAGGCCCACUGUGGUUGGCUCCACCUCUGGGUGGGCCGUCCUGGUUACAGAAGGAAGCACAUUGAGCAAGCAAUGAGCAACAAGCCAGUAAGCAGUUGUUCCUCCAUGGCCUCUACUUCAGUUGCUGCCUUCAAGUCUAUGCCUUGAGUUCCUGUCCUGACUUCCUUCCUGAUGUGCACUGAUCAAGCUGAAGUCAACUCUUUCCUCCCUGAGAUAGUUCACUCAGUAUUUCAUCAGAGUAAAGAGAAGUAACUGAGACAGUU